GACAGAAGGGAGCUUGCUCCCGGAUGUUAGCGGCGGACGGGUGAGUAACACGUGGGUAACCUGCCUGUAAGACUGGGAUAACUCCGGGAAACCGGAGCUAAUACCGGAUAGUUCCUUGAACCGCAUGGUUCAAGGAUGAAAGACGGUUUCGGCUGUCACUUACAGAUGGACCCGCGGCGCAUUAGCUAGUUGGUGAGGUAACGGCUCACCAAGGCGACGAUGCGUAGCCGACCUGAGAGGGUGAUCGGCCACACUGGGACUGAGACACGGCCCAGACUCCUACGGGAGGCAGCAGUAGGGAAUCUUCCGCAAUGGACGAAAGUCUGACGGAGCAACGCCGCGUGAGUGAUGAAGGUUUUCGGAUCGUAAAGCUCUGUUGUUAGGGAAGAACAAGUGCAAGAGUAACUGCUUGCACCAUGACGGUACCUAACCAGAAAGCCACGGCUAACUACGUGCCAGCAGCCGCGGUAAUACGUAGGUGGCAAGCGUUGUCCGGAAUUAUUGGGCGUAAAGGGCUCGCAGGCGGUUUCUUAAGUCUGAU
rnacentral:rRNA from 1 species